CUGUUACCACUAACCUCAACC
rnacentral:miRNA from 14 species